rnacentral:rRNA from 1 species
ACUCCUACGGGAGGCAGCAGUGAGGGAAUAUUGGUCAAUGGGCGCAAGCCUGAACCAGCCAUGCCGCGUGCAGGAAGACUGCCUUAUGGGUUGUAAAACUGCUUUUAUAUGGGAAGAAACCCCUCUACGUGUAGAGGCUUGACGGUACCAUAAGAAUAAGCACCGGCUAACUCCGUGCCAGCAGCCGCGGUAAUACGGAGGGUGCAAGCGUUAUCCGGAAUCAUUGGGUUUAAAGGGUCCGCAGGCGGUCAAUUAAGUCAGAGGUGAAAUCCUAUAGCUUAACUAUAGAACUGCCUUUGAUACU